AAAAACUGAGGUGGUAUACGAUGUUUCCGCGUCUGAUUAGCUAGUUGGUGGGGUAAAAGCCUACCAAGGCAACGAUCAGUAGCCGGCCUGAGAGGGUGAACGGCCACAUUGGGACUGAGACACGGCCCAAACUCCUACGGGAGGCAGCAGUGGGGAAUAUUGCACAAUGGGGGAAACCCUGAUGCAGCGACGCCGCGUGAGUGAAGAAGUAUUUCGGUAUGUAAAGCUCUAUCAGCAGGGAAGAAAUACUGACCAUAGGGUCAGCAGACGGUACUUGACUAAGAAGCCCCGGCUAACUACGUGCCAGCAGCCGCGGUAAUACGUAGGGGGCAAGCGUUAUCCGGAUUUACUGGGUGUAAAGGGAGCGUAGACGGCAGCGCAAGUCUGAAGUGAAAUGCCAGGGCUUAACCCUGGAACUGCUUUGGAAACUGUGCAGCUAGAGUGCAGGAGAGGUAAGUGGAAUUUCUAGUGUAGCGGUGAAAUGCGUAGAUAUUAGGAGGAACACCAGUGGCGAAGGCGGCUUACUGGACUGUAACUGACGUUGAGGCUCGAAAGCGUGGGGAGCAAACAGGAUUAGAUACCCUGGUAGUCCACGCUGUAAACGAUGAUUACUAGGUGUUGGGGGACCAAGGUUCUUCG
rnacentral:rRNA from 1 species